rnacentral:lncRNA from 1 species
GAACUAUUGUGUAACCAAAUGAUUUCCACUCUGGCUGCAUGUUAGAAUCACCUGGUACGCUUCUGAAAAAUGCUGAUGCCCCACUUGAGAGUAAUUGAAUCAGAAACUCUGGGGAGAAGCCCAGGCAUUGGUAUUUAUUUGUAAUUUCCCAGGUGAUUCUGGUGCACAAUGAGACUGUGAAUGACUCAUCUCUCCAGGCAGGUGGAAUGAUUUACCCAGGAUCCCACCAGGCUGGGGCGGGGCCGGGGAAGAGAAUAGAGGCAAGGAAGGGAGGGAGAGGACCAUUCUCUACACAAGGCAGAGACAGAAGAUACAUGAUGAGGAAGUGGUUGGUGGUGCCAAGCCACUGAAGGUCAAAGGGCGCUUGGUGUUGCCUUCUAAAGGAUAUUUUCUUGAAUCCAAGAUUCCAAUCAGAAGUCCAGAACCUGCUGCAAGAAGGAGGAGAAGGCUUGAAACUGGGAUAAACAGAAGGAGGAAAAG